CAGAGAGCUUAUCAGGUGGGGAAGCCCCAGGCCAUUUUACCACAAUAAGAACCUCUUCUUCUAAAAUAGAAAAGCAGAACAAGCACAUACAGUCAUGUUUUUACCCAGUAGUAAAAGUGAUCACACGCACCACACCCAAAGAAGAGCAGGGACCUGGGCAGAGACCUCUAAAAGCACAGCCUGCAGAUCAUAACACCCAAAGAUCAGAAGACGGAUGGGA